AUGUCGAAACCGCCACCGCCACCGCCGACGCCGCCCGCCUCCGAGGCCUCAUCUUCUGUUGCUGCGGCCGCUCCUCGCUCCCUUCCUCCAACGCUCCUCCUCCCUCCUUCAUCCAGCGGGAACCGAGGCGCGCGCGGCGCGGGGAGCAGGAAGGGCAAGGCGCCGGUUGGUUCAGCGGCCGGCGCGCAGGGAGGGGGACACCAGCACGACCCGCUAGUGGAGGCGGUGAGGUUGGUUGGGAGGGACGUGGACCCGGGGGUCGCCGGCGCUGACAUCCUGGAGCUGGCGAUGGCCAAGGGGCCCAUGUUCUCGUGGCUGAGGUACUGGCCGGAAGAGGGCUAUCCCGAGGAGGGCCGACCUUAUUGA
rnacentral:rRNA from 1 species